rnacentral:rRNA from 1 species
GAACUGAAGAGUUUGAUCCUGGCUCAGAUUGAACGCUGGCGGCAUGCCUUACACAUGCAAGUCGAACGGCAGCACGGGAGCUUGCUCCUGGUGGCGAGUGGCGAACGGGUGAGUAAUACAU